rnacentral:rRNA from 1 species
AUGAACGCUGGCGGCGUACCUAACGCAUGCAAGUCGAACGAGGGACAGGUAGCAAUAUUUGUUCCGAGUGGCAAACGGGUGAGUAACACGUAGGUAAUCUAUCCUUGGGUGGGGAAUAACGGACCGAAAGGUUCGCUAAUACCGCAUCGGGUCGUGGUCUGCGAAAGCGGGUCUGACCAAAGCCUUCGGGCGCCUGAGGCGGAGCCUGCGGCCGAUCAGGUAGUUGGUGGGGGUAACGGCCUACCAAGCCGCUGACCGGUAGCUGAUCUGAGAGGAUGACCAGCCACACUGGCACUGUGACACGGGCCAGACUCCUACGGGAGGCAGCAGCGAGGAAUAUUGCGCAAUGGGCGAAAGCCUGACGCAGUAACGCCGCGUGCGGGACGACGACCUUCGGGUUGUAAACCGCUUUUAACGAGGACGAGCGAGGACGGUACUCGUGGAAUCAGUCUCGGCUAACUACGUGCCAGCAGCCGCGGUAAGACGUAGGAGGCGAGCGUUAUCCGGAUUCACUGGGCGUAAAGCGCAUGUAGGCGGUUCGGCAAGUCGUGUGUGUAAGCCCCUGGCUCAACUGGGGGAGGUCAUGCGAGACUGUGGGACUUGAGGGCAGCAGAGGAGCGUGGAACUCCCGGUGUAGCGGUGGAAUGCGUAGAGAUCGGGAAGAACACCAGUGGCGAAGGCGGCGCUCUGGGCUGCAACUGACGCUGAGAUGCGAAAGUGUGGGGAGCAAACGGGAUUAGAUACCCCGGUAGUCCACACCUUAAACGAUGAGCACUGGGUGUGGGGGGGAAGACCCUCCGUGCCGUAGCUAACGCGUUAAGUGCUCCGCCUGGGGACUAUGAGCGCAAGCUUAAAACUCAAAGGAAUUGACGGGGGCCCGCACAAGCAGCGGAGCGUGCGGUUCAAUUCGAUGCGACACGAAGAACCUUACCAGGGUUUGACAUUGCGGUGGUAGGGAAGGGAAACUGGACCGACCCGCAAGGGAGCCGUAACAGGUGAUGCAUGGCUGUCGUCAGCUCGUGCCGUGAGGAUGUUGGGUUAAGUCCCGCAACGAGCGCAACCCCUGCCUUUUGCCAGUACAAGUGUCUGGCCGCUAGGACUGCCGGUGAUACGCGGAGGAAGGUGGGGAUGACGUCAAGUCCGCAUGUCCUUUAUAUCCAGGGCGACACGCACGUACUACAAUGGGGUGAUGGCACAGAGUCGCCAAGGCCGCAAGCGGGAGCCAAUCGCAAAAAAGCGCCUCUACAGUUCAGGAUUGGAGUCUGCAACUCGACGGCCAUGAAGUCUGGAAGUCGCUAGUAAUCGCGGAUCAGCAUAGCUGCGUUGAAUACGUUCCCGGGCCUUGUACACACCGCCCGUCACAUCACGAAAGCCCGUUGUACUAGAAGCCGGUGAUUCAACCGCAAGGAGAUAGCCGUCCAAGGUAUGACUGGUGAUUGGGGUG